CGCUCACUUGGAUCAGUGUGGGACUUGUCAUAGCUAGCAGAUAAAAAUCUGUUCAUUACCACAGACUGAAUCCAAGUACUUCCCACCACAAAAAAAGCCCAAAAGAGCCAAGAAACCUUGUGGGAGUAUGUCAAAGCUCUCCUGUUUGAGAGGAUGAAGGAAUCGUUUGUGAGGAACCAGGCAUCCAGCUUCAGUGAGGCCACGUUCUGGUUUGGAGUGCUCCCAGCCUCGAGGGGCGGCCUGCUUGGUGCAGCACCUUGCUUAAUCUUGCAGACAGUUUGCUUUAAUCCUGAGUGGAUGAAAACGGCAGGAGUUUGUAUAAAAUUGGUGUAAGUUUUCAGCCACUGAGAGCAGAACACAUCAGAAGGCAAUGCUGAAUAAAUCCAGAGGAAUACCAUGGCAUUAAUUGUGCAUCGUGCUGAGCAUACCUACUGUGGUAGAAGGUGACUCCCACCCCAGUGAUGGAUGGCAUCCUGAAUGAGCACUCUAAAAACAAACAAACAAACAAACAAACAAACCCACAACAUUCUUUCUGUUUUUCUGUGAAAGACUUCACCACUGUGGAUCCUCUAAACUUGGGGCAAAGAGGCCCAGGACAGCUAUUUGAUCUCCAAGGAUGGAGUGCACCCUCAGCAAGUUUUUGGAUGACAAUAAAAGUGGAGAAAGAAGAUGGUUGGAGGGUGGGGCUGCCACUCAGAGGCAUGGACAGACUGGAGAAAUGGACUGAACUCAUGAAGUUUAGAAUAGAUAAGUGCAACCAGAAAUGAAUUAGCUCCCUUAGAGUAAAUAACUGGAAUAGAUGACCUCCAGAAAUUCCCCAACCUUAAUGGUUCUCUGAUUCUAUGAUUUUAUGAUUCUUGCUCUGCAAGUGGCUAAAUGAGAGGAGACACAGAUGAAAAAGCAGAUUUGAGUAGCUAUUCAAAUACAGUCUAUUAUGUUCUCUGAAUUAGAGGGCGAAGAGGAUUGUAGAGAAGUAAUACAUUUUACUAGAUCAACUGGUAUAGCUGGAAGAGAAAAACAGAUAUAUCUUUUAUUAGAUUUGAAAGACAAGUGAUGCUCUUCAAAGCUGAAUAUGAGUAGAGAACAAUUGCUCUGAAUUUUAUGUUUAUAUUUAGCAGUGAAAAAAAGGCAGUAGGUACUUUCAGAACAAAGAAGGAUUCUUAGGCUAGAAAACAAGCAUUUGUAGGAUAGAAAGAGCACCUUGAAACAAAGACUGUCUCACACAUUUUACCAUUAGCACCCAAAACUUUGCCUUCAAUAACAAACACAUUCCUCAAGCAUUGUCACAGCUGGGAAAACAAUAUACCCCCGCAAUAUGCUAUAGGAGUCACCAUGAAAAAGAGAUUAUAAAUUUUCUGGACUGAAAACCUAGAAUCCCAAUUGAUUUCUACCACAGCUUCAUUAAUCACUUUCUGUACAAACCCUAAUUUCCUAGUCACAGCCAGCAACAUAAGAAAUGGAUAGAAUACACCCAGAACCAAGACCAGCACACCUACCAUUGUGAUCAUCUAAUCACCAAAAUUAAUAAUUUAAAACAAAAUAGGGCUGAGGUAUGCACUUAGACCCUGAAGCAUAGGGUGUAUUAGCUUUGAGGAAAAUCUUACAACUAUGCAAUUACCCUCACAGCUAAUAAAACGAGAUUAAUGUAAGGGAAUUCCUUUGCU
rnacentral:lncRNA from 1 species